rnacentral:snoRNA from 1 species
AUCCCAUGAUGUGGACAUCUUCUUAGUAAUUCUUUAAACCUCUCCCAAGCUUUAUACAAGGAUUCACUAUCAAAUUGUGUUAAUGAGGUUAUAUCGUUCCUCAUCUU